AAAGCCCCCCUUCUUCUUGUUUCUUGCUCGUGAAAACCAGAAGCUAAGCAGAAGCCGAACCGAAUACGGCAGAGACAGAGCAGCUCGCCGAACCGCCGUCUGCUCCACCGCCCGCCGCUUUCCCGCCGUUCACGCGUGCGCCGCCCCACCGAGCUGCCGUCCGUCCCUCUCCUCACGCCAGUCCAGCGCUGUCCAGCUUCCAUCUGCCUCUGUCCGACCUCGUUCCAGCCUCCGUGAGCGGCUGAGCAGACCACCGGAGCCGCCGUGUAGCCUCGCCGGACCGCCGCCUACCUUCCCGACCCCUUGCCACCCCCAACCCUCUCUCUUUCUCUCUGUUUUGCAGCCGAACCAGCAAACCUAAGACUUGGUUUCCAACGGCUUUGGGCCCGCUUUUGAGCCGUUUCCGGGCCUCAAACCCGAGCCAUGCUUUGGAGUUUAUUGUUCAUCGCGUUGCCCCCGUCGGAUUGAUCCGAUUUGCGCGCGAUUCCGGUGAGUAAUCUCACUAAUCUUUGCUUAUUUGGCUAAUUAUGGUUAUUUAGUUUUAUUUAAUUAAGGUUAAGUGAUUAGAUUAGUGUUUAUUAGUUAAUUGUGAUGCAAAUUAGACAAAUUGAAUGUGUAUUUAGCAAGUAGACAUGGUCUACUAUUUAUUGAUGGUAGUUUGGGAUUUUUCCGACCCUUUAUCAGGCUUCAAUUUGACAAUUCGUGCUUAAGUGGAAUUUUUGAUAUUUAAAUAUUAUUUUUCGGAAUUAAAUUAAAUAAUUAUUUAUUUUUCGAAAAUUCAACUGGGAUGGCUAGUGAUCGGAAUAUUAUGUUGAUGAUCGUGGUGAAGUCCGUUUAUUUAAUCGGGCUUUAUUUUGAGCUAAAUUGAUUUUUUAAUAUUAAUUAUUUAAUUUUCGAAAUUAGUUAAUUAUUUAUUUAUUUUUCGGAAAUUAAGGUUGAGAUGACCAGUGACUGAAAUUUUAUGCUGAUGAUCGUGCUGCAGCCCCUUUAUUUAAUUGGGCUUUAUUUUGAGCUAAAUUGAAUUUUUAAUAUUUAUUAAUUAAUUUUCGAAAUUAAUUUAAUUAUUUAUUUAUUUAUUUUCGGAAAUUAAGGCUGAGAUAGCCAACGACCGAAAUUCCGUGCUGAUUGUCGUGGUAUAGUCCGUUUAUUUAAUUGAGAUUGAUUUUGUGCUAAAUCAAUUUAUGAGUGAUUUUAGGAUUUAUUUCUAAAUUAUUGGAUUUUGGUUAUUAAUUGGGAAAUAACCAGGUGUCGGUUGACAGCACCAAAAGUGUUUUGGUGGGCUAUAGAGAAUUGUGAGAAUUAUGAAAAAGGAAAUUAUAAUAUUUUGGCUAAGGCCAAUCGUGUACCCACACAACUAUUUUAUCGGGUAUGAUAAAAAUAAUGGGAAUAUUAGACGAUGGAUAUGGUAUACUAUAUCGGCCUUCGGGCGAUAUGCCAGCUUUGAGUGAGCAGUAUACCGGUAUACUAUAUCGACCUACGGGCGAUAUGUCAGCUUUGGAUGAGCAGUAUAUCUUAUUAUUAGCUUUGGGCGAGCAAUAUAUUAUCAGCUUUUGGUGAGCAUAUGGUAUACUAUAUUGGCCUUCGGGCGAUAUGUCAAUUUUGGGUGAGCAGUAUACCAAUAUACAAUAUUAGGCUUCGGGCGAUAUGUUAGCUUUGGGUGAGCAGUAUACCUUAUUAUCAGCUUUAGGCGAGCAAUUAUCAGCUUUGGGUGAGCAUAUGAUAUACUAUAACGGCCUUCAAGCAAUAUGUCAACUUUGGGUGAGCAGUAUAUCGGUAUACUAUAUCGGCCUUCAGGCGAUAUGCCAGCUUUGGGUGAGCAGUAUAUCUUAUUAUCAACUUUGGGUGAGCCAUGCUAUCUAUUUAUCAGCUUUGGGUGAGCAUUCCUAAUUUGAUAGGACUUUAUAGAUAGUAUUGAAUAUGCUGACCAAGCAUGGGUCGUGAUGUCAUGUAAUCGACUAGGUCGAUUGAUCAUUGCUUUGAUAUGAUGCUGUGAAUUGAUUGAUUGGAUGGAAAUGACUGUGAGGGUCUUGUUGGCGUGUAACCGACUAGGCCGAUUUGAUCGAUACUUCAAUCUGUGAUCUAAUUGCUUGGGUGUCUAUUUGAUCUGUGCUAACAUGUAGGUGGGAUCUGAGGCCAAGGUAAGUCCUCCGACUCGUGCUGUGCUUAGGCAACCGAGUAGUGUAUUGGUUCCCUAAUUGAGUCUUAGUGGGGUAAAACUCGCUGAGACGUAGUCUCAUCCCGGUUUGGGGAAAACAUUUCAGGAUCCCGUUGAGGAGCUAAGGAGGAGGAAUCGGAGAAGGAGAGCUCUAAAGUAAAACUAGAGGAAAAGAAUUUUUGGAAAAAAGAAGAUAAUGGAGUAUAACUUGGAUGGACUGAGAUUUUAUCUUCUUUUGAGAACUCCCUUUUGAUGUGAAUAGUUAUGGAGUACUUUGAUUUGUAUUUUGUAUAAAAGUUUGGUUAUAAGUUUCAAUAUGAAAAAUAUGGCAUUGCUUUUCUAUCCCAUACUAUGUAUGGUUUGGGGAUUAUAACUGCUUCCGCAUAUGCUUAAUAAAAGAAAGGGUCGGCGAUAUAUAGUUCUAGGAUAUCGCAUUAUAAAAUCGACCAAGUGAGAAGAAUGUGUGCAUGCCCGAGGAUCGGGGCGUGACAUACCCCAAGGGUAUUCUUUGUAAAACCCUAAUUAAUCAAUCAAAAAAUUCAAUAUUCUCA
rnacentral:lncRNA from 1 species